rnacentral:rRNA from 1 species
GGGGCGAGCGUUGUCCGGAAUUACUGGGCGUAAAGGGCGCGUAGGCGUUUACCAAGUCAGGGGUGAAAACUAACGGCUCAACCGUGAGAGUGCCUUUGAAACUGGUAGACUUGAGGGCAGGAGAGGGGAGUGGAAUUCCCAGUGUAGCGGUGAAAUGCGUAGAUAUUGGGAGGAACACCAGUGGCGAAGGCGGCUCUCUGGCCUGUUACUGACGCUGAGGCGCGAAAGUGGGGGAGCGAACGGGAUUAGAUACCCCGGUAGUCCACGCCGUAAACGAUGGGUGCUAGGUGUAGGAGGUAUCGACCCCUUCUGUGCCGUAGUUAACACAAUAAGCACCCCGCCUGGGGAGUACGGCCGCAAGUUGAAACUCAAAGGAAUUGACGGGGGGCCGCACAAGCGGUGGAGCAUGUGGUUUAAUUCGACGCAACGCGAAGAACCUUACCAGGGUUUGACAUCCCCUGACAGCGUAUGAAAGUACGUUUUUCACCUUUGGGUGAACAGGGAGACAGGUGGUGCAUGGUUGUCGUCAGCUCGUGUCGUGAGAUGUUGGGGUAAGUCCCGCAACGAGCGCAACCCCUACGUUUAGUUGCCAUCGGGUGAGGCGGGCACUCUGGACGAACUGCGKUGACAAACGGAGGAAGGUGGGGAUGACGUCAAAUCAUCAUGCCCCUAUGUCCUGGGCAAACACGUGCUACAAUGGCCGGUACAA